rnacentral:pre_miRNA from 1 species
UAUUAGGUUGGUGCAAAAGUAAUUGCGAUUUUUGCCAUUACUUUCAAUGGCAAAAACUGCAAUUACUUUUGCACCAACCUAAUA